UCCGCGAGGCCGUAGUCGAACCACCGACCUAUGGAUGUCUGUGUCUUGCCACCUACCGUCCAUCGCUCUGCCAACUGAGCUAUCGACGG